rnacentral:rRNA from 1 species
GUUGUAUGGUUAAGUGACUAAGCGUACACGGUGGAUGCCUUGGCAGUCAGAGGCGAUGAAGGACGUAUUAACUUGCGAUAAGCCCAGAUUAGGUAGUAAAAACCAUUUGAGUCUGGGAUUUCCGAAUGGGGAAACCCACUAGCAUAAGCUAGUAUCGCUGCGUGAAUACAUAGCGCAGCGAGGCGAACCGGGGGAACUGAAACAUCUAAGUACCCCGAGGAAAAGAAAUCAACCGAGAUUCCGAAAGUAGCGGCGAGCGAAAUUGGACUAGCCCUUAAGCUUUUUAUGCGUCAGGUGAAACUUCUGGAAAGUUGUGCGAUACAGGGUGAUAGCCCCGUAACCGGCAACGCAUAUAAAGUGAAAUCGAGUAGGGCGGGACACGUGAUAUCCUGUCUGAAUAUGGGGGGACCAUCCUCCAAGGCUAAAUACUACUGACUGACCGAUAGUGAACCAGUACCGUGAGGGAAAGGCGAAAAGAACCCCUGUGAGGGGAGUGAAAUAGAACCUGAAACCGUGUACGUACAAGCAGUAGGAGCACCUUCGUGGUGUGACUGCGUACCUUUUGUAUAAUGGGUCAGCGACUUAUAUUCAGUGGCAAGGUUAACCAUCUAGGGGAGCCGUAGGGAAACCGAGUCUUAACUGGGCGUUCAGUCUCUGGAUAUAGACCCGAAACCAGGUGAUCUAGCCAUGGGCAGGUUGAAGGUUGAGUAACAUCAACUGGAGGACCGAACCGACUAAUGUUGAAAAAUUAGCGGAUGACUUGUGGCUAGGGGUGAAAGGCCAAUCAAACCUGGAGAUAGCUGGUUCUCCCCGAAAGCUAUUUAGGUAGCGCCUCGGACGAAUACUACUGGGGGUAGAGCACUGUUAAGGCUAGGGGGUCAUCCCGACUUACCAACCCUUUGCAAACUCCGAAUACCAGUAAGUACUAUCCGGGAGACACACGGCGGGUGCUAACGUCCGUCGUGGAGAGGGAAACAACCCAGACCGCCAGCUAAGGUCCCAAAUUACUACUAAGUGGGAAACGAUGUGGGAAGGCUCAGACAGCCAGGAUGUUGGCUUAGAAGCAGCCAUCAUUUAAAGAAAGCGUAAUAGCUCACUGGUCGAGUCGGCCUGCGCGGAAGAUGUAACGGGGCUAAGUAGUAAACCGAAGCUGCGGCAAUGCACUUUAGUGCAUUGGGUAGGGGAGCGUUCUGUAAGCGGUUGAAGGUGUGUGGUAACGCAUGCUGGACGUAUCAGAAGUGCGAAUGCUGACAUGAGUAACGAUAAAGGGGGUGAAAAACCUCCUCGCCGGAAGACCAAGGGUUCCUGUCCAACGUUAAUCGGGGCAGGGUAAGUCGACCCCUAAGGCGAGGCCGAAAGGCGUAGUCGAUGGGAAACGGGUUAAUAUUCCCGUACUUCUUACAAUUGCGAUGGGGGGACGGAGAAGGCUAGGUGGGCCUGGCGACGGUUGUCCAGGUUCAAGUGCGUAGGCUUAAGAGUUAGGUAAAUCCGGCUCUUUUUAAGGCUGAGACACGACGUCGAGCUACUACGGUAGUGAAGUCAUUGAUGCCAUGCUUCCAGGAAAAGCCUCUAAGCUUCAGAUUGUAAGGAAUCGUACCCCAAACCGACACAGGUGGUCGGGUAGAGAAUACCAAGGCGCUUGAGAGAACUCGGGUGAAGGAACUAGGCAAAAUGGUACCGUAACUUCGGGAGAAGGUACGCUCUCGACGGUGAAGUCCCUCGCGGAUGGAGCUAUUGAGAGUCGCAGAUACCAGGUGGCUGCAACUGUUUAUUAAAAACACAGCACUGUGCAAAAUCGUAAGAUGACGUAUACGGUGUGACGCCUGCCCGGUGCCGGAAGGUUAAUUGAUGGGGUUAGACUUCGGUCGAAGCUCUUGAUCGAAGCCCCGGUAAACGGCGGCCGUAACUAUAACGGUCCUAAGGUAGCGAAAUUCCUUGUCGGGUAAGUUCCGACCUGCACGAAUGGCGUAAUGAUGGCCACGCUGUCUCCACCCGAGACUCAGUGAAAUUGAAAUCGCUGUGAAGAUGCAGUGUACCCGCGGCUAGACGGAAAGACCCCGUGAACCUUUACUACAGCUUGGCACUGAACAUUGACCCUACAUGUGUAGGAUAGGUGGGAGGCUUUGAAGCACAGUCGCUAGAUUGUGUGGAGCCGUCCUUGAAAUACCACCCUUGUAGUGUUGAUGUUCUAACGUUGACCCCUAAUCGGGGUUGCGGACAGUGCCUGGUGGGUAGUUUGACUGGGGCGGUCUCCUCCCAAAGCGUAACGGAGGAGCACGAAGGUGGGCUAAUCACGGUUGGACAUCGUGAGGUUAGUGCAAUGGCAUAAGCCCGCUUGACUGCGAGAAUGACGGUUCGAGCAGGUGCGAAAGCAGGUCAUAGUGAUCCGGUGGUUCUGAAUGGAAGGGCCAUCGCUCAACGGAUAAAAGGUACUCCGGGGAUAACAGGCUGAUACCGCCCAAGAGUUCAUAUCGACGGCGGUGUUUGGCACCUCGAUGUCGGCUCAUCACAUCCUGGGGCUGAAGUCGGUCCCAAGGGUAUGGCUGUUCGCCAUUUAAAGUGGUACGCGAGCUGGGUUUAGAACGUCGUGAGACAGUUCGGUCCCUAUCUGCCGUGGGCGUUGGAAGAUUGAAGGGGGCUGCUCCUAGUACGAGAGGACCGGAGUGGACGAACCUCUGGUGUUCGGGUUGUGUCGCCAGACGCAUUGCCCGGUAGCUAAGUUCGGAAUCGAUAACCGCUGAAAGCAUCUAAGCGGGAAGCGAGCCCUGAGAUGAGUCUUCCCUGAUACUUUAAGUAUCCUAAAGGGUUGUUCGAGACUAGAACGUUGAUAGGCAGGGUGUGUAAGCGUUGUGAGGCGUUGAGCUAACCUGUACUAAUUGCCCGUGAGGCUUAACCAUACAACACCCAAGGGGUUU